rnacentral:rRNA from 1 species
AUGGGGUCCGACUAAGCCAUGCGAGUCAUGGGGGUGUCCCUUCUGGGACACCACCGGCGGACGGCUCAGUAACACGUCGGUAACCUACCCUCGGGAGGGGGAUAACCCCGGGAAACUGGGGCUAAUCCCCCAUAGGUGUGGGGUACUGGAAGGUCCCCACACCGAAAGGGGCUUCGUGCCCGCCCGAGGAUGGGCCGGCGGCCGAUUAGGUAGUUGGUGGGGUAACGGCCCACCAAGCCGAAGAUCGGUACGGGCCAUGAGAGUGGGAGCCCGGAGAUGGACACUGAGACACGGGUCCAGGCCCUACGGGGCGCAGCAGGCGCGAAACCUCCGCAAUGCGGGAAACCGCGACGGGGGGACCCCCAGUGCCGUGGCAACGCCACGGCUUUUCCGGAGUGUAAAAAGCUCCGGGAAUAAGGGCUGGGCAAGGCCGGUGGCAGCCGCCGCGGUAAUACCGGCGGCCCGAGUGGUGGCCGCUAUUAUUGGGCCUAAAGCGUCCGUAGCCGGGCCCGUAAGUCCCUGGCGAAAUCCCACGGCUCAACCGUGGGGCUUGCUGGGGAUACUGCGGGCCUUGGGACCGGGAGAGGCGGGGGGUACCCCUGGGGUAGGGGUGAAAUCCUAUAAUCCCAGGGGGACCGCCAGUGGCGAAGGCGCCCCGCUGGAACGGGUCCGACGGUGAGGGACGAAGGCCAGGGGAGCGAACCGGAUUAGAUACCCGGGUAGUCCUGGCUGUAAAGGAUGCGGGCUAGGUGUCGGGCGAGCUCCGAGCUCGCCCGGUGCCGUAGGGAAGCCGUUAAGCCCGCCGCCUGGGGAGUAUCGGCCGCAAGGCUGAAACUUAAAGGAAUUGGCGGGGGAG